GGGCCCAUAGCUCAAUGGCGGAGCAUCCGGCUUAUAUCCGGCAGGUUGUAGGUUCGAGUCCUACUGGGCCCACAA
rnacentral:tRNA from 1 species